UAAUACGUAGGGAGCAAGCGUUAUCCGGAUUUACUGGGCGUAAAGCGCGCGUAGGCGGACGCUUAAGUGUGGCCUGAAAGCCCCCGGCUCAACCGGGGAGGGCGGCUGCAAACUGGGCGUCUUGAGGGGGAUAGAGGAGAGUGGAAUUCCUGGUGUAGCGGUGAAAUGCGUAGAGAUCAGGAGGAACACCCGUGGCGAAGGCGGCUCUCUGGGUCCGCCCUGACGCUGAGGCGCGAAAGCGUGGGGAGCGAACGGGAUUAGAUACCCCGGUAGUCCACGCCGUAAACGAUGGUUACUAGGUGUGUGUGGUGUCGACCCCACACGUGCCGCAGCUAACGCAAUAAGUAACCCGCCUGGGGAGUACGGCCGCAAGGUUG
rnacentral:rRNA from 1 species